CACAUCCUUCAGUUAUAAUGUUCUGCCUUGGAAUGACUGGACUGACCAUCAGAAUUUACUACUGUCUGCAGGAUCAGAGGGGAGACAGACCACGAUGACCAUCUGCAUUGGAUGAGGAUCCAUAGUUGCUCAUCUGCAAAGAUAGAAGAUGACAUGAACUACCCUACAGUUUUUCGGAAGCGGCUAAGCUGGAGACAGAUCAGAGGUGCGGAGCUACCGCAGGGCAGCCCAGAACACCAGCAGCCCCAGGCGAGCCAG